UUUUCUCCCGUCAUUGUCUUCGUCUCGUCUUUCUAUGUACGAUGCAUUCGUUACGUCACUGAAACUGACUCAGUCUGGCUCCCAGCUGUCUGUGAAUCAGGAACCAGGAGAUCCUUUAGCUGAAACCAGUUCCCCCGUUCCCCAAACAGUAACAGAACCAUCUUCAAAUCCCGCGGCAGAUCCCCUCCCACCCUCUAGUUUCACCACUCCCUCAUGCACUCCUCUUCCAUUGGAGCUCCACAUUGAUGAAGACAGUUGUUCGGCCCGCACAUCAUUGCACGUUUCUACCGUGGUCAUUGAAUCAUCGGAGAGUGUUCAGUGUCUCCAGAUCCAGCAGAAGGACGGCGUUAGCGCCGUCACUUCUGAGGUCUCACAGGUGGAGAGCUUCCGUGUCUCCAGUACGGUUAAACCAGCCAGUCCAGCAGAAGUCAACGGUCCUACUCUUAUGUCGGAGUCUAAAGCACCGACCAGCCCUGAUCCUGCUGCCAAGAGUCCCAGUCCAGUUGUUGCUUCUAACAGCCCCGUGUCUAAGGGCCCUAGUCCAACUCCUGGAGUCAAGAGUCCCAGUCCUUCAGAUGUAAAACCUAAAAGCCCCUUACCUACAAGUUUCAGUCCUGUUCCCUUGAGACGUAGUCCGCAAGCAGAUACAAAGAGUGACAGUCCAGUGCCACAUGCAGCUACUCAAGUAACAGUCCCAAGGCUAGCUAGUCCAAUUCCAAAAAGUGCAAGUCCAGUUACAGUCCCAAAUAACUUCAGUCCCCUCUCUGAAGGUAAAAGCUCUAGUCCAGUGCCCGCUCCAAGACUUUCAAGCCCGGUUCCAAAGAUAGCAAGCCCGAUAACCGUUCCUAAUAUUGCCAGUUCUCCGACUGUAACCAAAAGAUCUAGUCCGGAAACUGGCCCCAAGUGUAGCUCUCCAGUCAUGCUUCCAAGGCUCUCAAGCCCAGUUCCUAAAAGUGAACCUACAAUUCCUAAAAGUCCGGCUGCAUUCAUCAGAAAAACAUACACAAUUCCAGGUGGCAGCAGUCCCACAGCUUCACCAGUUCCACCUGCCUCUGCUCCAUCUAGUAGCCUGUAUACUUGUCCUGCAGAGGGUCAGGGAAGAGAGGGACUAGAUCUAACAUGGCCAUGUCGGGAGCCUUUAUUGGAUGAUGCCCUAGACAGACUCUUAUCUCCUGAUUCCACUCGUUCGGAAGAGAGCCACCAGCCUGGCAUGCCCAGAGAUGAAGACAGAUCUUGGGAGGAGGAAGAUGUAAUUUACCCUGAUCUUAGCCGAGAGGGAACCCUGACACCCAUGACUGAGUCCAGCUGGAUCGAUGAGUGUUACACCCCUUCCUCAUGCCCCGGGACGCCAGAUGCAACGCUGGACCUGCCCACACAGCAGCCCUCUGCUGUUGAGAGACUAUCCGCUUCUGGUCAAGUAGGAGACUCAAAUCGACUCUCCCAAAAUAAGCUCUUGGCGUAAAGUUAAAGAAGCUAAAAGACUUGGUCUUGCUUUCAUAAGGCACCAUUUUCAAAUAGUGUGAAAAAAAUACUGGUGAAAUAACUGCGUCAGACACAGACUGUUUCUGUGGAUGCUGGACCAAACUUAUUUUGGGAGAUCAUCCCUUUAAAAGUGCUCGAGGAGUUGGAAUGGUGGAAACAUGCGGAAAAAAAAAAAAAAAGAAAUUCUUCCGUUGUGGUGUGAUGCAUGUGGUGUCAUAGUAGUUACAACACUGCUUGAGGGAGUUGUUUCCCUGUAGCCACCAUUUGUGGCCGAUGUUGAAAGCUUUGCUGAAAGGAGUUUUGCGCACGUCCUCACUUGCUUCAGUCAGCAUUGCUGCAUUAGUCACCAGGCCAGACCAAUCAUGUUUACGCAAGAGUCAAUAAGAAAGUGAUGCCAACAGUUCUCUGUACAGGAGAUUUUUUUUUCUUCUUUUUUGGGGGGGGCUAGUGCACACAUAUAGUGAGGAUGUACUUGAAUUUUUCUGGCCUUGCUUCAGCAUGCGCAGACUUUUGUGAUCGACCAGCGUUGUCUUGACAUUGGCUUUCCAGCAUGUCUCGCCACAACUAGUUCUGUGUAGACUUGAUAGCGAAGAGUGGAUUUAUACUGAGCGCUGAGCCUGGCUUGAGUGUUUUUUCCACUUGAGUGAGACUUCCAGCACUGGGCCUCAUCCUGCUUGUGCUUGUAGCGCUGAAAUGGAGUUUUUUUCUGGUAAAUGGCACCGUCCCAGCCUCCCACAGCUCCUUAUCAUCUGCCCUCCAGCUUAAGUCGGUUAUCCGCCGUACCAAAGAGACCUCCAAUGUGCAUCCGAUGUUCAGGGAUGGACUAUUGAGACGGAAGAUGGGACCAAUCAUUGUGAACAAAAACAACUCGCAAGACCGACUUAUUGAAGAGCUGCAAGGAAAACUGGGAAUUGGGCGAGUGGAGCGCAGGCGCAAACAGCAGUCGGAUGACUGGCUGACGGAGGGAGUCAUCGUUAUGUCCAGCCCACAGCGAAUGCGAGAAGAGAGAAUUCAGCCGUCAGUGGAUAAGAUCAUCAUCCCACCCGAAUCACCCGUUCCACAGAGAAAAGUUCUGUCCCCUCCACCGUCUCCCCCAGCGCCCAGACCGAUACCCCCAGUCAAGCAGACUCCUCCGCCGCUACCUCCUCCUCCUCCCCCUCCGACUCCCCCUCCUCCUCGAGAGCCCACCCCUCCGCCCCCCAAGGAGCCCACUCCUCCCGCCAGGGAGCCCACACCUCCCCCUGUCCGGCCCCCUCCAUCACCUAGCCCCCCACCCAAGCCUGUCACGCCGCCCCCGCCUCCCAAGGUCUUUGUAUCAGUGGCCUGUCAGACAGAAUACGACCCCGUCUUCCCUCCGAUGCAGGCAUGGAUCAGCUCUCUUCAUCUCCGCUCCUCCUCCUCCUCCUCCUCCUCUCACACAUCGCUCUCUCUUUCCAUUUUCACUCACUUCCUUUGCCACUCUGAGUCGUUCCUUUCUAACAUGUUUGCAGAUUACUUGGUUAUUUAUGAGUCCUGUGUGUGGUCUCUGGGUCUGCUUUUGGGCAGGUAGGCUCGUUAAAGCUUUGUCUGAAAUCCAGCCGGUCCGGGUUACAAGGGGUGCUGACAUUCAGGCCGGCGAGGCUAAGCCUCUUUUCUAAUUCUGACAUCUGAUGGCGCCAAGAGCACAGUGUUCGGAGUGCGGUGGAGAAUUUAAGAGCUUAGGGGAAAGCAGAACGUAACUCCCCCAAUGUUCCCGUUACACUAAGUGUCCUGCCAUGCAGAGGCACGGUCGGCUUGCAGCGCUACUGAAACCUAAUAUGCCACAUGACAGCACAGUUACCCCACAAUUAUAGCAUGUCUGACAGGACUUAAGUCAACAAGUCUCAUUAGGUUGGAUACAGGCCUUGUUGAGGUUGAAACUCUCCUUCUGUCACACUUGUGAUAAUUCAUUGUCUUUGAUUCGUCGAAGAUUUAUCAUUGAACACUGGCAUAAGUCUCCAUAAAUACACUUAACAAGAAGCAUUGUUUGUAUGUAUUCUAAGGUAAGGAGGUCAUUGGUGUGCAGCGUUACAUGGAUGUGUGGAGAGAGCGUAAGAGCGUAAGAGAGAAUAUGUGGUGCAGGGGUGCUAUUUUCUCUCUCAGAGGAAUGCAGAAGUCAUGAAGCUCCAAUAUCCACACCAUCUGAGAAGGUCUGUGUUUGCUCACUGUACAGAAGCCAAACGCAUAUUCUCACACAAUGUUGAUAUCAGAGAGUCGUUAUGCAGACCUGCACAAGUGGACGAGGGCUGCUGAGAGCUUGUUUUUUAUUGGCUAAUAUGUAA